rnacentral:rRNA from 1 species
CUCGUAGGCGGCCAACUAAGUCAUACGUGAAAUCCCUCAGCUUAACUGGGGAACUGCGUGUGAUACUGGAUGGCUUGGAUUUGGGAGAGGGAUGCGGAAUUCCAGGUGUAGCGGUGAAAUGCGUGGAUAUCUGGAGGAACACCGGUGGCGAAGGCGGCAUCCUGGACCAAUAUUGACGCUGAGGAGCGAAAGCCAGGGGAGCAAACG